rnacentral:rRNA from 1 species
CCUACGGGAGGCAGCAGUGAGGAAUUUUGCGCAAUGGGGGAAACCCUGACGCAGCAACGCCGCGUGAGUGAUGAAGGCCUUCGGGUCGUAAAGCUCUGUCAAGUGGGAAGAACCUGCUCUGUGAUAACACCACGGGGCACCGACGGUACCACUGAAGGAAGCACCGGCUAACUCCGUGCCAGCAGCCGCGGUAAU